rnacentral:rRNA from 1 species
CGUAGGGUGCAGGCGUUAAUCGGAAUUACUGGGCGUAAAGCGUGCGCAGGCGGUUUCUUAAGUCAGAUGUGAAAGCCCCGGGCUUAACCUGGGAACUGCGUUUGAAACUGGGAGACUAGAGUGUGGCAGAGGGGGGUGGAAUUCCACGUGUAGCAGUGAAAUGCGUAGAUAUGUGGAGGAACACCGAUGGCGAAGGCAGCCCCCUGGGUUAACACUGACGCUCAUGCACGAAAGCGUGGGGAGCAAACAGGAUUAGAUACCCUGGUAGUCCACGCCCUAAACUAUGUCAAAUGGUUGCCGGGGGAUUAACUCCCUUGGUAACGAAGCUAACGCGUGAAGUUGACCGCCUGGGGAGUACGGCCGCAAGGUUA